CCAGGAUCCACCUCUGAUGUUCAGUGAAGAGGACCGGAAAAGUCUGCUAGAGCAGUACCAUCUGGGUCUGGAUCAAAAACGCAGAAAAUACGUGGUUGGAGAGCUCAUCUGGAAUUUUGCCGAUUUCAUGACUAACCAGUGUGUCAGUUUCUUGGUCGGGAAUGAAAAUAGUGCCAACCUGUGAUACCUUCACUCUAAUUUUACUUUCUGAGGAAGUUUUCUGUAAUAGUUAUUUGGUGAUAAUUAUUAAUACUGGUGAGAAAAUCAAUGUAAAAGAGGAGAAAUAACCCACACAACCACAUACAACUAGGAAAUGAUAGAUGGAUCUGAAAAAAAGGAUAUGCACUCUUAACAAGUUCAACACCCAAGUACUAUUGCAAGUACCAGCUGUAUUUCAUGGAAAAAAAAAAAAGAAUAACUCAAAAGGCAGAACGAAGAGCCUAGAGGUCAGAGAUGAGAGGCAUGAAUAAUUAUUCACAGGCGUUGAAUAUAAUCAAAUGACUUGCAACAUUUACCACUGGGAUUUUAAAAUGUGGUGGACCAAUCAUUCUUUUAGUCUGUGCAUUUUCCCAUUUUUUUCAACAGGAAUGUCUAGAGACAUUAUUCCUGUUUUGCCACUGUAUUUUUGGUGAAUGUGUAGUAAGUAACUGGCCUCUUUAGUAUCACAAAGCUGGAUGAAGAAAAUGUGGUACAUAUACACCAUGAAAUACUAUGCCGCCACAAAAAGGAAAUGAGAUCAUGUCCUCUGCAGGGACAUGGAUGAAGCUGGAAGCCAUUAUCCUUAGCAAAGUAACGCAGGAACAGAAAACCAAACACCACAUGUUGUCUCUUAGAAGUGGGAGCUGAACGGUAAGAACACAUGGACACAGGGUGGAGAACAAUACACACUGGGGCUUGAUGGGGGGUGGAGGGGAGGGAUGGGGAGCAUUAGAAAAAAUAACUAAUGCAUGCUGGGCUUAAUACCUAUGUGAUGGGUUGAUAGGUGCAGCAAACCACCCUGGCACAUGUUUAUCAAUGUAACAAACCUGCACAUCCUGCACAGGUACUCCAAAACUAAAAGUAAAAAAAUCUAAAAGAAAAAAAAAAAGAAUUAAACCCAAAAUCACUACCCCAUCUGGACUUGAUUUAGAUGAAAAGCUUCUGGACUUUGAGCUGAUGCUAUAGUGGGUUGAAAAUUUUGGGGUCCUCAGAAGGGGAUGAGGAUAUAUUGCAUGAGAGAGCAACAUGAAUCAUUGAGAGCCAGAGUAUAGAGAGUGGUAGGUAGACUGUAGGAGAGCCCUCAAUGAUCCCGGCUUUCUUGUAUUCGCGUUGCACUUACUUGUAUAAUAUGGCAGAUGGGAUGUGAUGUCACUUUCAAGAUUAGGUUAUAAAUAGACUAUGGCUUCAAUCAGAGGGUUUUCUCUCUGUCUAGCUCUCUUUUGGGUAGUUCAUUCUGAGGAAAGCCAGCUGCCACGUUAUGAUGUAGGCCUGUGAGGUCCACGUAGCAAAGAACAUAUGGAAGAUUUCUACCACCCCCUAACUAAGCCUUUAGAUCAGACUGCAACCCCAGCCAACAAGGUAGCUACAAACUCUUGAGAAGCCUUGAGACAGAGGUACUCAAUAGAGCCAUUCCUAUGAGAAACGUAAGUAUCUGCUGUUUUACACCGCUAAGGUUUUAGCUAAUGUAUUAUGCCAUAAUAGAUAAGUUAUAUACAACCUUUAUCAAAUAAUAAAAGUAACCAUCAUCAGUAAUGAGACAAAUCAAAAACCAUGGCCCACCCAAUAGAACAUAAUGAGGAGAGUACAGAAUUGCUUCUGGGAUAUUUCUGACAAAGAUGUAUAUGCUUCAUUCAUACAUGAGGAAACAUCACACAUACUCAAGAUGGGAGAGCCAUUCUAAAAAAUAACUAGGCAGAAAUCUUCAAAAAUAUUAAAGUCACGGAAACCAAGAAAAAAUAUGAACCUGUUUCAGAUUAAAGGAAACUAAACAGACCUAACAUUUUAAUACAAUGUUUGAUUUUGAACUUGAACUUUUUGUUAUAUAAGACACUAUUGAGACAAGUGCUAAUGCUUGAAUAGGGCUGAAGGAUUAGAUUAUAAUAAUACAUUAAUGCAAAUUUCCUGAUUUUAAACAUUGUAGUUUGAUUGCACAAGGAGAAUGUCUUUAUGUGUGGAAAAU
rnacentral:lncRNA from 10 species